UACGGGGGGAGCAAGCGUUGUUCGGAUUUACUGGGCGUAAAGGGCGCGUAGGCGGCGCAACAAGUCACUUGUGAAAUCUCCGGGCUUAACCCGGAGCGGCCAAGUGAUACUGUCGUGCUAGAGUGCGGAAGGGGCUACUGGAAUUCUCGGUGUAGCGGUGAAAUGCGUAGAUAUCGAGAGGAACACCGGUGGCGAAGGCGGCAUCCUGGACCGACAUUGACGCUGAGGCGCGAAAGCCAGGGGAGCAAACGGG
rnacentral:rRNA from 1 species